UUUAGAUUAACAAAACACAUGAAAAACCCUCAACUUCUUUCAUUUGGCUGUUGAGAUAAAGGGAAAGAGAGAGUCCCCGUCCAGGCCUGCAGGAGAGGGAGAGCUGGUGGAUGUAAAUGAAAAAGCAGAGGCAUUCCUCAGAGAUUAUAGUGCUGGAGUUGGAAGAAGAUGGGAGAAACAUAUGAGGAGAGAAGGAAGGGAGCUCAUACCACGAUGAAGAAGAUAACUCCUGAAGAUUGGGAAGGGCACUGGCUGGCUCUCGAAGAUGGACAAAUGGCUUUAUGAUGCUUAAGGGGAUGCUCUGUGGAGUCAGAUGCUUGGGUGCAAAUCACCACCAUGACACACUACCCAAUGAGCAAACAAAAGCACAGACUACUUAAGGAUCCUGACAAAGACUUCCCAGCCAGAAGACGCGAUGCCUUGGGACAAAUCUAGGACCACCAGAUUUCAAACCUUAUACUUCUGAUCACUAUAUGACACUGAACAUGAUUUUAAGAAAGUUUCUUACAAAAAUGUAUGAAUUGGACAAGAGAGUAACAAAAACAGAGUAAUUCACUGAUCUCUCAUUUUGUAGAUGUAAGUUUUGUAUAAUGAGUUUCCGUAAAUCAGGAGACACUUGGAAACAUAAAUAAGUCAAAGUUACAGGCAAUAAAGUCACAGAGAAUUGUAUUAUUGUCCUCUG
rnacentral:antisense_RNA from 1 species